rnacentral:rRNA from 1 species
GAGUUUGAUCCUGGCUCAGGAUAAACGCGGCGGCGUACAUAAGACAUGCAAGUCGAACGGGAGAAGCUUUAUAGAUUUAUCUUUGAAGUGGACACCGUGGCGGACGGGUGAGUAACACGUAAGCAACCUACCUGUGAGAGGGGGAUAACAGUGAGAAAUUACUGAUAAUACCGCAUAAGCUGACAGUACCGCAUGGUACAGUCAGAAAAGAUUUAUCGCUCAUAGAUGGGCUUGCGUCUGAUUAGCUAGUUGGUGAGAUAACAGCUCACCAAGGCGACGAUCAGUAGCCGGAUUGAGAGGUUGAACGGCCACAUUGGGACUGAGACACGGCCCAGACUCCUACGGGAGGCAGCAGUCGGGAAUAUUGCACAAUGGAGGAAACUCUGAUGCAGUGACGCCGCGUAUAGGAAGAAGGUCUUAGGAUUGUAAGCUAUUGUCGUGCGCGAAGAAAAUGACCAGCGCAGGAGGAGCCC